AGAGUUUGAUCCUGGCUCAGGACGAACGCUGGCGGCGUGCCUAAUACAUGCAAGUCGAGCGAAUCUGAGGGAGCUUGCUCCCAAAGAUUAGCGGCGGACGGGUGAGUAACACGUGGGCAACCUGCCUGUAAGACUGGGAUAACUUCGGGAAACCGGAGCUAAUACCGGAUAAUCCUUUUCUACUCAUGUAGAAAAGCUGAAAGAUGGCUUCGGCUAUCACUUACAGAUGGGCCCGCGGCGCAUUAGCUAGUUGGUGAGGUAACGGCUCACCAAGGCGACGAUGCGUAGCCGACCUGAGAGGGUGAUCGGCCACACUGGGACUGAGACACGGCCCAGACUCCUACGGGAGGCAGCAGUAGGGAAUCUUCCGCAAUGGACGAAAGUCUGACGGAGCAACGCCGCGUGAGUGAUGAAGGUUUUCGGAUCGUAAAACUCUGUUGUUAGGGAAGAACAAGUACCGUUCGAAUAGGGCGGUACCUUGACGGUACCUAACCAGAAAGCCACGGCUAACUACGUGCCAGCAGCCGCGGUAAUACGUAGGUGGCAAGCGUUGUCCGGAAUUAUUGGGCGUAAAGCGCGCGCAGGUGGUUUCUUAAGUCUGAUGUGAAAGCCCCCGGCUCAACCGGGGAGGGUCAUUGGAAACUGGGAGACUUGAGUGCAGAAGAGGAAAGUGGAAUUCCAAGUGUAGCGGUGAAAUGCGUAGAGAUUUGGAGGAACACCAGUGGCGAAGGCGACUUUCUGGUCUGUAACUGACACUGAGGCGCGAAAGCGUGGGGAGCGAACAGGAUUAGAUACCCUGGUAGUCCAUGCCGUAAACGAUGAGUGCUAAGUGUUAGAGGGUUUCCGCCCUUUAGUGCUGCAGCAAACGCAUUAAGCACUCCGCCUGGGGAGUACGGCCGCAAGGCUGAAACUCAAAGGAAUUGACGGGGGCCCGCACAAGCGGUGGAGCAUGUGGUUUAAUUCGAAGCAACGCGAAGAACCUUACCAGGUCUUGACAUCCUCUGACAAUCCUAGAGAUAGGACGUUCCCCUUCGGGGGACAGAGUGACAGGUGGUGCAUGGUUGUCGUCAGCUCGUGUCGUGAGAUGUUGGGUUAAGUCCCGCAACGAGCGCAACCCUUGAUCUUAGUUGCCAGCAUUCAGUUGGGCACUCUAAGGUGACUGCCGGUGACAAACCGGAGGAAGGUGGGGAUGACGUCAAAUCAUCAUGCCCCUUAUGACCUGGGCUACACACGUGCUACAAUGGAUGGUACAAAGGGCUGCAAGACCGCGAGGUUUAGCCAAUCCCAUAAAACCAUUCUCAGUUCGGAUUGCAGGCUGCAACUCGCCUGCAUGAAGCCGGAAUCGCUAGUAAUCGCGGAUCAGCAUGCCGCGGUGAAUACGUUCCCGGGCCUUGUACACACCGCCCGUCACACCACGAGAGUUUGUAACACCCGAAGUCGGUGGGGUAACCGCAAGGAGCCAGCCGCCUAAGGUGGGACAGAUGAUUGGGGUGAAGUCGUAACAAGGUAACC
rnacentral:rRNA from 1 species